AAUGAACGUUGGCGGCGUGGAUUAGGCAUGCAAGUCGUACGGGCCGCAAGGCCAGUGGCGCAAGGGUGAGUAAGGCGACGGCAACCAACCCCAUGGUCGGGUAUAGCCGCGGGAAACCGCGGGUAAUCCCCAGCGACGCAUCGGGCCGGCAUCGGCCCGCUGCCAAAGCUCCGGCGCCGUGGGACGGGCCGUCGUGGUAUUAGGUAGUUGGCGGGGUAACGGCCCACCAAGCCGACGAUGCCUACCGGGCGUGCGAGCGUGGCCCGGCACACUGGGACUGAGACACUGCCCAGACUCCUAUGGGAGGCUGCAGUCGAGAAUCUUCGGCAAUGGGCGCAAGCCUGACCGAGCGACGCCGCGUGGAGGACGAAGGCCUUCAGGUUGUAAACUCCUGUCGAGGGGGAAGAAGGCCCCGCGAGGGGCUUGACUGAUCCCUGGAGGAAGCACGGGCUAAGUUCGUGCCAGCAGCCGCGGUAAGACGAACCGUGCGAACGUUAUUCGGAAUCACUGGGCUUAAAGCGCGUGUAGGCGGGACGGCACGUCGGUCGCUGAAAUCCCCCGGCUU
rnacentral:rRNA from 1 species